AACGAACGCUUGCGGCAGGCUUAACACAUGCAAGUCGAACGCAUCCUUCGGGGUGAGUGGCAGACGGGUGAGUAACGCGUGGGAACGUGCCCUUCAGUUCGGGAUAACCCAGGGAAACUUGGGCUAAUACCGGAUACGUGCGAGAGCAGAAAGAUUUAUCGCUGAAGGAUCGGCCCGCGUCUGAUUAGCUAGUUGGUGGGGUAAUGGCCCACCAAGGCGACGAUCAGUAGCUGGUCUGAGAGGAUAAUCAGCCACAUUGGGACUGAGACACGGCCCAAACUCCUACGGGAGGCAGCAGUGGGGAAUAUUGGACAAGGGGCGCAAGCCUGAUCCAGCCAUGCCGCGUGAGUGAUGAAGGCCUUAGGGUUGUAAAGCUCUUUCGUCCGGGACGAUAAUGACGGUACCGGAAGAAGAAGCCCCGGCUAACUUCGUGCCAGCCGCCGCGGUAA
rnacentral:rRNA from 1 species